rnacentral:rRNA from 1 species
UACGAAGGGGGCUAGCGUUGUUCGGAAUUACGUGGGUGUAAAGGGCGCGUAGGCGGUACUUCAAGUCAAGGCGUGAAAGCCCCGGGCUCAACCUGGGAACCGCGCUUGAGACUGGAGAACUUAGAGUUCGGGAGAGGAUGGUGGAAUUCCCAGUGUAGAGGUGAAAUUCGUAAGAUAUUGGGAAGAACACCGAUGGACGAA